GACGAACGCUGGCGGCGUGCCUAAUACAUGCAAGUCGAACGAACUCUGGUAUUGAUUGGUGCUUGCAUCAUGAUUUACAUUUGAGUGAGUGGCGAACUGGUGAGUAACACGUGGGAAACCUGCCCAGAAGCGGGGGAUAACACCUGGAAACAGAUGCUAAUACCGCAUAACAACUUGGACCGCAUGGUCCGAGCUUGAAAGAUGGCUUCGGCUAUCACUUUUGGAUGGUCCCGCGGCGUAUUAGCUAGAUGGUGGGGUAACGGCUCACCAUGGCAAUGAUACGUAGCCGACCUGAGAGGGUAAUCGGCCACAUUGGGACUGAGACACGGCCCAAACUCCUACGGGAGGCAGCAGUAGGGAAUCUUCCACAAUGGACGAAAGUCUGAUGGAGCAACGCCGCGUGAGUGAAGAAGGGUUUCGGCUCGUAAAACUCUGUUGUUAAAGAAGAACAUAUCUGAGAGUAACUGUUCAGGUAUUGACGGUAUUUAACCAGAAAGCCACGGCUAACUACGUGCCAGCAGCCGCGGUAAUACGUAGGUGGCAAGCGUUGUCCGGAUUUAUUGGGCGUAAAGCGAGCGCAGGCGGUUUUUUAAGUCUGAUGUGAAAGCCUUCGGCUCAACCGAAGAAGUGCAUCGGAAACUGGGAAACUUGAGUGCAGAAGAGGACAGUGGAACUCCAUGUGUAGCGGUGAAAUGCGUAGAUAUAUGGAAGAACACCAGUGGCGAAGGCGGCUGUCUGGUCUGUAACUGACGCUGAGGCUCGAAAGUAUGGGUAGCAAACAGGAUUAGAUACCCUGGUAGUCCAUACCGUAAACGAUGAAUGCUAAGUGUUGGAGGGUUUCCGCCCUUCAGUGCUGCAGCUAACGCAUUAAGCAUUCCGCCUGGGGUGUACGGCCGCAAGGCUGAAACUCAAAGGAAUUGACGGGGGCCCGCACAAGCGGUGGAGCAUGUGGUUUAAUUCGAAGCUACGCGAAGAACCUUACCAGGUCUUGACAUACUAUGCAAAUCUAAGAGAUUAGACGUUCCCUUCGGGGACAUGGAUACAGGUGGUGCAUGGUUGUCGUCAGCUCGUGUCGUGAGAUGUUGGGUUAAGUCCCGCAACGAGCGCAACCCUUAUUAUCAGUUGCCAGCAUUAAGUUGGGCACUCUGGUGAGACUGCCGGUGACAAACCGGAGGAAGGUGGGGAUGACGUCAAAUCAUCAUGCCCCUUAUGACCUGGGCUACACACGUGCUACAAUGGAUGGUACAACGAGUUGCGAACUCGCGAGGGUAAGCUAAUCUCUUAAAGCCAUUCUCAGUUCGGAUUGUAGGCUGCAACUCGCCUACAUGAAGUCGGAAUCGCUAGUAAUCGCGGAUCAGCAUGCCGCGGUGAAUACGUUCCCGGGCCUUGUACUCACCGCCCGUCACACCAUGAGAGUUUGUAACACCCAAAGUCGGUGGGGUAACCUUUUAGGAACCAGCCGCCUAAGGUGGGACAGAUGAUUAGGGUG
rnacentral:rRNA from 1 species